rnacentral:tRNA from 1 species
GGGCGAGUGGUGAAAUUAGUAUACACGCAAGAUUGAGGUUCUUGUGGCCGCAAGGCUGUGCAGGUGCAAUUCCUGUCUCGCCCACCA